CCAAAAGUUUCCACCUGAUUUCUUUCAAGUCUGCAGAUUCCCAUUUUCGGGUCUUAGCGAGAGAGCAUCGGCGUUGCCGUGAUGAAUUCCUGAUCGAUGACGAAUAUCAGAAUCGUACUGUCCUAGCCUUUCUAACUAUCCAGCUACCUGACCUUCAGGGGAUUUGAACGAAAGUAGCCACCUGGGGGAAGCAUGAUCUGUGUCAGCCAAGAAGAAACCUUCUCGAUUUUGGAUGGGUCGGUCUUCACAC
rnacentral:lncRNA from 1 species